rnacentral:lncRNA from 1 species
UGGGAAGUUGCUCGUGAGCUCCCAGAAACAAAACCGUGAGGGCCAGAGAGGAGGGGCCCAAAGCGGACAAUAUCGUGCUACGGCGGAGCCGAUCCCGGGGUGUGACAAUUUGGUAUCAGAGCCACUCUGCCGUGUGGUGCGAGUGUGCCGACGAGGACGUCGGGCCCUUAAGGGGGGUGGAUUGUAAGAUCCCACAUCAACCAAACGGAGAGGGGGUGAUGUGCCUUGUAUGUGCACACCCGCAUCCAUCUAGCACGAGGCCUUUUGGGAGCUCACUGGCUUCGGAGUCGUAGGAACUCC